GCACCCAAGACACUAGGAACUUAACACAAACCACUUUGCCAUUUGACUUCUUUUGUAACUAUAUCUCCGCAAUAAUACAUGAGCAAUGCUUUGUAUGUUGGGCUUGAAAACAAAUAUUGAGGCCCUCAAAUUUAGAGACAAUCAAUAGAGACGGAAAUACUCAGAGACAGAUAUUUUUCGUCUCUAAUAAAAGUUUGACUAUUAUAAUAACAAUUUGACUUGUUAGAGACGGAUAUAGAGACAAAAAAAUUAGACACGGUUAAAGUUCGUCUCUAAAAUUUGUCUCAAACUAUUAUUUUCUAUUUAUAAUUAUAAAAAUAAUCAACUAGAGACAGAUUUAGAGACAGGGUGAUUUAGAGACGGGAUAUUCGGUCUCUAACAUCUGUCACUAAUACACAUAUUUUAAUUUUCGUCUCUGAUUGUUUUUUUCUGUCUCUAAUUUCGUCUCUAAUAGAGAAGAAACAAAUUCCGUCUCUAAAUUCCGUC
rnacentral:lncRNA from 1 species